rnacentral:rRNA from 1 species
UACGUAGGUGACAAGCGUUGUCCGGAUUUACUGGGCGUAAAGAGCGCGCAGGCGGUCGAUCAAGUCGAGUGUGAAAGCCCCCGGCUCAACUGGGGAGGGUCAUUCGAUACUGAUCGACUCGAAGGCAGGAGAGGGUAGUGGAAUUCCCGGUGUAGUGGUGAAAUGCGUAGAUAUCGGGAGGAACACCAGUGGCGAAGGCGACUACCUGGCCUGUUCUUGACGCUGAGGCGCGAAAGCUAGGGGAGCAACAGGG